rnacentral:rRNA from 1 species
CCUACGGGGUGCAGCAGUCGGGAAUAUUGCGCAAUGGACGAAACUCUGACGCAGUGAUGCCGCGUGCAGGACGAAGGUUUUCGGAUUGUAAACUGCUUUAGACAGGGAAGAAACAAGACAGUACCAGUAAAAUAAGCUCCGACUAACUACGUACCAGCAGCCGCGGUAAUCCGUAGGGAACAAGCGUUAUUCGGACUUAUUGGGUGUAAAGGGUGCGUAAACGGGAAGUCAAGUUAGUUGUGAAAUCCCUCGGCUUAACUGAGGAACUGCAACCGAGACUAACUAUCUUGAGUGCUGGAGAGGAGGGUAGAAUUCCUAGUGUAGCGGUGAAAUGCGUAGAUAUUAGGAGGAACACCAGUGGCGAAGGCGACUUUCUGGACAGUAACUGACGUUGAGGUGCGAAAGUGUGGGGAGCAAACAGGAUUAGAUACCCUAGUAGUC